GAGAGAAGGCACGGCAAGCAUUUUUUUGUUUAAUAAAAGUGGGAUAUUUCUGGAGCAGAAAUUAUGAGAACAGAAUGAUCGGUAGGCAGAAAGCUGCAAUGGCAGGAGCUACAGAAUCCAGGGCCGGGACACGUAGGUGUAGAAUAUAUGGGUGCGUUCGUUUUUUCAGAGAAUUGAACGUACUUUGCUAAGUUAUUGCUGCCCAUGGUGUGCAUACUCAUCCCACUCUAGGAUAAAGGAGAUCAAAAAAAUCCCAGAGUAUCUAAUUUUAAUUCCUUUGUUUUGUUUUUGUUGGGCUGGUGUUGGUUAAAUGUUUAGCUGGAGUUGGUGGUUAUUUUAACUUGGGUGUAACUGUAAACUCUUUAUUGUUGUUGUUACUGAUUUCUAUUGAUUUAUUGGUUGGUUUGUUGCUUGUGUAGGAUAUUUUGUUUUUUAAUGUUUAAUGUUUUGUUGCGUUUCUGUAUGUGUUGUAAGCUGCCCAGAGUGGCUGCGGAAACCCGGCCAGAUGGAUGGGAUAUAAUUUUUUUAAAAAUAAAACAUUAUCUCACCUAAGAUCCAAACAUUAAAAUGGUAAUCAGUGAUCCCAUGUGUUCAAUCCACCUUCAGAAGCGAAGGCUAAUCUCUGGAGUGUAGAUGUGUUCUAUGGUUGGGAUAAAAACCAGACUGCCCACAGAUGAGAAGUCACUUUCUCUUUGUUAGUUCCAUCUAAGAGGACACUGUUGUUGCUCGAGGAUCACUGUGGCUAGGCAUGGCUCACAUUUGGCUACUUGCAUCUUGCAUUUUUCUCUGCUUCGUAGCAGGAGAUGCUGUUGUCUGCCGACAGUGUACUACCAUGAGGCCAUGGAUACCAUGCAGGCCGUUAGGGAGAAGAUGCGCUGCCAUAAAGAACAAAAUGAUCUGCAUAAUCUUGAAAGUCUACAAAGGUUUCCAGCUGUGGCAGAAGGUCAUGGGCUGCACGAAUGUGGAUGACGACAGGUGUGGCCAAUGGAAUUUUGACAAGCGCACUAAGAAACUGUACGCAUUCUCCUGUUGCGCCGAUAAAAAUUAUUGCACUCAGCAAUAA